AAAAUAACAAAAGAAGCUUCCUUGUGCUUCAUUCUUUAUCCCCACAAAAAUCCUAUAUGAUUCUUCAGAGGCAAAUAAUUUGCAUUCUCUAAGCACAGACUGCUUCUUCCCUAACUUGUUUGUUUUAAAGGGAUGUGCUGUUGUCCCCUCAGGUGAAAUGUGACCACUAUUGGCCAUUCACAGAAGAACCCAUAGCUUAUGGAGACAUCACGGUGGAGAUGAUCUCAGAGGAAGAGCAGGACGACUGGGCCUGUAGACAUUUCCGGAUCAACUACAACGGCGUAGAUGAAAUGCUUGGUCCCGUAGAGCCCGAGGAGGCGUAGCCACAAGGCUUUCAUGGUCCCGUGUCAGAUUCUCCUGGGGUAAUAGAAGACAGGACAAGGUGACCCACCACUCACCAGGCAUGACUGAGAAGUGUUGUCACUGCUUAUAUUAACCAUCUAAGUAGGAUAUACAAAAACGUUUUAAAAUAAAGUGUAGCUUUAGAUGAGGAAGAUUGAGUUU
rnacentral:lncRNA from 1 species